GACGAACGCUGGCGGCAUGCCUAAUACAUGCAAGUCGAGCGAAUGAUGAAGAAGCUUGCUUCUUCUGAUUUAGCGGCGGACGGGUGAGUAACACGUGGGCAACCUACCCUAUAGAUUGGGAUAACACAGGGAAACCUGUGCUAAUACCGAAUAAUACCUUUCUCUUCAUGGAGGAUGGUUGAAAGAUGGCAUCUCGCUAUCACUAUAGGAUGGGCCCGCGGCGCAUUAGCUAGUUGGUGAGGUAAUGGCUCACCAAGGCAACGAUGCGUAGCCGACCUGAGAGGGUGAUCGGCCACACUGGGACUGAGACACGGCCCAGACUCCUACGGGAGGCAGCAGUAGGGAAUCUUCCACAAUGGGCGAAAGCCUGAUGGAGCAAUGCCGCGUGAGUGAAGAAGGAUUUCGGUUCGUAAAACUCUGUUGUAAGGGAAGAACAAGUAGCGUAGUAACUGGCGUUACCUUGACGGUACCUUAUUAGAAAGCCACGGCUAACUACGUGCCAGCCGCCGCCGUAACAC
rnacentral:rRNA from 1 species